rnacentral:rRNA from 1 species
GACGUAGGGCGCGAGCGUUGUCCGGAUUUAUUGGGCGUAAAGAGCUCGUAGGUGGUUUGUCGCGUUGUUCGUGAAAACUCACAGCUUAACUGUGGGCGUGCGGGCGAUACGGGCAGACUGGAGUACUGCAGGGGAGACUGGAAUUCCUGGUGUAGCGGUGGAAUGCGCAGAUAUCAGGAGGAACACCGGUGGCGAAGGCGGGUCUCUGGGCCGUAACUGACGCUGAGGAGCGAAAGCAUGGGGAGCGAACAGG